UACAGAGGUCUCAAGCGUUGUUCGGAUUCAUUGGGCGUAAAGGGUGCGUAGGCGGCGCGGUAAGUCGGGUGUGAAAUCUCGGAGCUUAACUCCGAAACUGCAUUCGAUACUGCCGUGCUUGAGGACUGGAGAGGAGACUGGAAUUUACGGUGUAGCGGUGAAAUGCGUAGAGAUCAUGAGGAAGACCAGUGGCGAAGGCGGGUCUCUGGACAGUUCCUGACACUGAGGCACGAAGGUCAGGGAGGCAAACGGG
rnacentral:rRNA from 1 species